rnacentral:rRNA from 1 species
ACACGGAGAGCUUGCUCUCGGGUGACGAGCGGCGGACGGGUGAGUAAUGUCUGGGAAACUGCCUGAUGGAGGGGGAUAACUACUGGAAACGGUAGCUAAUACCGCAUAACGUCGCAAGACCAAAGUGGGGGACCUUCGGGCCUCAUGCCAUCAGAUGUGCCCAGAUGGGAUUAGCUAGUAGGUGGGGUAACGGCUCACCUAGGCGACGAUCCCUAGCUGGUCUGAGAGGAUGACCAGCCACACUGGAACUGAGACACGGUCCAGACUCCUACGGGAGGCAGCAGUGGGGAAUAUUGCACAAUGGGCGCAAGCCUGAUGCAGCCAUGCCGCGUGUAUGAAGAAGGCCUUCGGGUUGUAAAGUACUUUCAGCGGGGAGGAAGGCGAUAAGGUUAAUAACCUUGUCGAUUGACGUUACCCGCAGAAGAAGCACCGGCUAACUCCGUGCCAGCAGCCGCGGUAAUACGGAGGGUGCAAGCGUUAAUCGGAAUUACUGGGCGUAAAGCGCACGCAGGCGGUCUGUCAAGUCGGAUGUGAAAUCCCCGGGCUCAACCUGGGAACUGCAUUCGAAACUGGCAGGCUAGAGUCUUGUAGAGGGGGGUAGAAUUCCAGGUGUAGCGGUGAAAUGCGUAGAGAUCUGGAGGAAUACCGGUGGCGAAGGCGGCCCCCUGGACAAAGACUGACGCUCAGGUGCGAAAGCGUGGGGAGCAAACAGGAUUAGAUACCCUGGUAGUCCACGCCGUAAACGAUGUCGAUUUGGAGGUUGUGCCCUUGAGGCGUGGCUUCCGGAGCUAACGCGUUAAAUCGACCGCCUGGGGAGUACGGCCGCAAGGUUAAAACUCAAAUGAAUUGACGGGGGCCCGCACAAGCGGUGGAGCAUGUGGUUUAAUUCGAUGCAACGCGAAGAACCUUACCUGGUCUUGACAUCCACAGAACUUAGCAGAGAUGCUUUGGUGCCUUCGGGAACUGUGAGACAGGUGCUGCAUGGCUGUCGUCAGCUCGUGUUGUGAAAUGUUGGGUUAAGUCCCGCAACGAGCGCAACCCUUAUCCUUUGUUGCCAGCGGUUCGGCCGGGAACUCAAAGGAGACUGCCAGUGAUAAACUGGAGGAAGGUGGGGAUGACGUCAAGUCAUCAUGGCCCUUACGACCAGGGCUACACACGUGCUACAAUGGCAUAUACAAAGAGAAGCGACCUCGCGAGAGCAAGCGGACCUCAUAAAGUAUGUCGUAGUCCGGAUUGGAGUCUGCAACUCGACUCCAUGAAGUCGGAAUCGCUAGUAAUCGUAGAUCAGAAUGCUACGGUGAAUACGUUCCCGGGCCUUGUACACACCGCCCGUCACACCAUGGGAGUGGGUUGCAAAAGAAGUAGGUAGCUU